UGUGCUUUUUGAACUAAAAAAAAAGAGAAGGGGAGAGAGAGAUGGAGAAGAUGAAACAUCACCAUACUCUAUUUUACCACAAUUCUGAAUCGAAGAAGUAAAGAACAUAAUCGUAAUGUCAAACUCGAAGAACGCUAUCUUCUCAUCUCAAAUCUCAAUCACGAGGUUUCUUAAAAACUCCUUUCUUGCUGAAUUAGGAUUUCAAUAUAAAGUUAGCAUAAUUUUUGAAUUGUAAUUGCUGUUUUUGUUUUAUGUAUCAUCUUUGGAGGUGUAGGUGGAAGAAAAAUCUAGACGUGGAAGUGGAGAGAGAGAUUACAAGAUAUUGUGAUGGUGAAGGUAGCUCAAAUUGUUUCAUCAAGUUCUCAGGUGGUGUAAACAUGCUGCUGGAACUUUUUGUUAAAGUGCCCAUCUUUGGAGCAGUCUCAUAUCUGGCAAUGGCUGUUCUUCUCAGUUAAGCUUUCUUUUAUGACAUAUUCUGGGUCUUCGUUUCCAAGUCGAUUUUCCAUGAGAGUGUUAUUCUCAAUUGGAGCUCUAGGAGACAGGGGAAGGUUUGUGGAUGACCCUCCCACUGGACUUGAGAAAGCAGUCAUCCCUCCUGGAAAGAAUGUUCGAUCAGCUUUGGGGUUAAAGGAAGGAGGUCCUCUAUUUGGAUUUACUAAAUCAAAUGAAAUAUUCGUGGGAAGAUUAGCACAACUAGGAUUUGCAUUCUCCUUAAUAGGAGAAAUCAUAACAGGAAAAGGAGCACUUGCACAACUCAACAGUGAGACUGGGGUUCCAGUAAACGAGAUUAAGC